rnacentral:rRNA from 1 species
AGCAGCCGCGGUAAUUCCAGCUCCAAUAGCGUAUAUUAAAGUUGUUGCAGUUAAAAAGCUCGUAGUUGAAUUUCGGGAUCAAUAUGUUUGGUCGUGCCUCGGUACGUACUAGCUUAUUGGUUUCUCCUUUCUGAAGAACCAUGAUGUCAUUCAUUUGGUGUCGUGGGGAAUCAGGACUGUUACUUUGAAAAAAUUAGAGUGUUUAAAGCAGGCUCACGCUUGAAUACAUUAGCAUGGAAUAAUGAAAUAGGACGUUUGAUUCUAUUUUGUUGGUUUCUAGGAUCGACGUAAUGAUUAAUAGGGAUAGUUGGGGGCAUUAGUAUUCAAUUGUCAGAGGUGAAAUUCUUGGAUUUAUUGAAGACUAACUACUGCGAAAGCAUUUGCCAAGGAUGUUUUCAUUAAUCAAGAACGAAAGUUAGGGGAUCGAAGACGAUCAGAUACCGUCGUAGUCUUAACCAUAAACUAUGCCGACUAGGGAUCGGAUGAUGUUAAUUUUUUAAUGUACUCAUUCGGCGCCUUA